UACGAGGGGGGCGAGCGUUGUUCGGAAUUAUUGGGCGUAAAGGGUGCGUAGGCGGUUUGGUAAGUCUCUUGUGAAAUCUAUGGGCUCAACUCAUAGUCUGCAAGGGAAACUGCCGGGCUUGAGUGUGGGAGAGGUGAGUGGAAUUUCCGGUGUAGCGGUGAAAUGCGUAGAUAUCAGGAAGAACACCCGUGGCGAAGGCGGCUCUCUGGGACGGUACUGACGCUGAGACGCGAAAGCGUGGGGAGCGAACAGG
rnacentral:rRNA from 1 species